rnacentral:rRNA from 1 species
GGCGUGCCUAAUACAUGCAAGUCGAACGAACUUCCGUUAAUUGAUUAUGACGUACUUGUACUGAUUGAGAUUUUAACACGAAGUGAGUGGCGAACGGGUGAGUAACACGUGGGUAACCUGCCCAGAAGUAGGGGAUAACACCUGGAAACAGAUGCUAAUACCGUAUAACAGAGAAAACCGCAUGGUUUUCUUUUAAAAGAUGGCUCUGCUAUCACUUCUGGAUGGACCCGCGGCGUAUUAGCUAGUUGGUGAGGUAAAGGCUCACCAAGGCAGUGAUACGUAGCCGACCUGAGAGGGUAAUCGGCCACAUUGGGACUGAGACACGGCCCAGACUCCUACGGGAGGCAGCAGUAGGGAAUCUUCCACAAUGGACGCAAGUCUGAUGGAGCAACGCCGCGUGAGUGAAGAAGGGUUUCGGCUCGUAAAGCUCUGUUGUUAAAGAAGAACGUGGGUAAGAGUAACUGUUUACCCAGUGACGGUAUUUAACCAGAAAGCCACGGCUAACUACGUGCCAGCAGCCGCGGUAAUACGUAGGUGGCAAGCGUUAUCCGGAUUUAUUGGGCGUAAAGCGAGCGCAGGCGGUCUUUUAAGUCUAAUGUGAAAGCCUUCGGCUCAACCGAAGAAGUGCAUUGGAAACUGGGAGACUUGAGUGCAGAAGAGGACAGUGGAACUCCAUGUGUAGCGGUGAAAUGCGUAGAUAUAUGGAAGAACACCAGUGGCGAAGGCGGCUGUCUGGUCUGCAACUGACGCUGAGGCUCGAAAGCAUGGGUAGCGAACAGGAUU